AUUGAACGCUGGCGGUAUGCUUAACACAUGCAAGUCGAACGGUAACAGGCCUUCGGGCGCUGACGAGUGGCGGACGGGUGAGUAACGCGUAGGAAUCUGCCUCAUAGUGGGGGACAACGUGGGGAAACUCACGCUAAUACCGCAUACGCCCUACGGGGAAAGCGGGGGAUCUUCGGACCUCGCGCUAUGAGAUGAGCCUGCGUUAGAUUAGCUAGUUGGUAGGGUAAAGGCCUACCAAGGCGACGAUCUAUAGCUGGUCUGAGAGGACGAUCAGCCACACUGGGACUGAGACACGGCCCAGACUCCUACGGGAGGCAGCAGUGGGGAAUAUUGGACAAUGGGCGCAAGCCUGAUCCAGCAAUACCGCGUGUGUGAAGAAGGCCUUAGGGUUGUAAAGCACUUUCAAUUGGAAGGAUAACCUGCCGGUCAAUACCGUAGCUUGACAUUACCUUUAGAAGAAGACACCGG
rnacentral:rRNA from 1 species